rnacentral:miRNA from 1 species
CUCAGGCGGUGGUCUGAUGGAUCUCACUGGGGCCUCCAGAAUGUAGUGACUCACACAGCUGAGACAGAAACUCAGACCCCACUUUGAUGCAAUAAUCAAUGAAAUUUAUUA